AAUCGUAACAUCCCUAGUAGCCUAUAUGUUUAGUGUUUAGCCUGUAUGUUUAAUGUGCCAUGCGUUUCAUCGUGGUUUUGAUUUUAGGAGCUCCUGCAAGCUGAUGGCCAUAUUGGUGAAUGAGAAUAGAGGAGAUUUGCAGACCCCCAUUAAGAUGUUUCCCUUCCUUCGUAAGUAUAAAAAGGUAUAACAGCAUCUGUACUAGGGGUGUAACGGUUUGAAUUAUGCUUUGGUUUGUAUCAUGUUUUUUAUUGCAUACCAAUCACAUUUGGCAAUGUUGAGUUAGCCCCACUCAUGCGCAUGCUGUCUCAGGGUACCUAAUGCAAAGACACCCAAAAACUUUGGUGUUUUGGGACCCUUUAGAAAUCAACACAUUUCUGCAACUUUCAGUCAUUUCUUUAAAGGGGUCAUAUAAUGCUACAUGCACUUUUACAAGUUGUUUGAACUGAAAUGUGUGUUGGCAGUGUGUGUACACAACCACCCUAUAAUGCUAAAAAUCCACCCAGUGUUUUUUUUUUGUAAUAUCGUUAAAUUUUUACCCCUUUCUCAAAUCGAGCCGUCUGUCCAUGUGACAUCACAUGGACGGAGGCCCCUCCCACAAUUGUUGAUUGACAGCAGCGUUUCAGCACAGACUGGACUGGUGUCUUACCUCAGACCCGCCCUGAGUGAGCUGUCAUCAGUUGUUUGACAAGAAUGACUCCCAAGCGAUUCAGGUGUUUUGUUGUUGGAUGUAAUGAUGAACAUACCAGUAGUCAUUUACUUCCUUCAUCUGAGACGCUGAAGAGGAUUAGGUUUUGUUCUGAAGGGAACGUGCCCUCCAUCUACCUAAAUGCAUCUAUGUUCGUGUGAAUCAUUCAUGAUCCAGCUUCACCUCCAGAAAAACGCCACCUACCGAAUUGGAUCACCAAAGAUGGACGACAUGGACAGCAAUCAGAUUGCAUGGUCAGCGGUUUGCCUUCUGGACUGAUGAGGCCAGAAACCUGCUUCAAGGAAUUCUUCAGCCAGUGUACAGAGCACUUUCUCAGACCUUCAUUGUACUGGGACCAGAGGAGCAUUUGGUGGGUGUACCUCAAUGGGAAGCCCUCAAAGUUCCUCGACAGUGAGGAACAACAGGACAUCCUUUUUAACUGAGAGGAGCACUGCAUUGGACACCAACACAACUGAGUUUCACAGAUGGAGUACAGUUCAUCUAUGGUCUUCUUUUU